rnacentral:rRNA from 1 species
ACCCCAAUAGCGGAAUGGCAGCUCGCUGGGACGUAUCUGACCAUGAGGCGCGAUAUGCGUGAGGGAGCAACAAGAGUAGAUACCUGCUAGUCACGCCGUAAACGAUGGUACUAGAUGUGGGAGGUGUCGACUCCUCCCGUAUCGUCGCUAACGCAGUAAGUACCCCGCCUGGGGAGUACGGCCGCAAGGCUAAACUCAAAGGAAUGACGGGGUCCCGCACAAGCAGCGGAGCAUGUGGUUUAAUUCGACGCAACGCGAAGAACCUUACCUGGGCUUGACAUGUAUGUGACCGCCAUAGAGAUAUGGCUUCCCUUCGGGGCACAUUCACAGGUGGUGCAUGGCUGUCGUCAGCCCGUGUCGUGAGAUGUUGGGUUAAGUCCCGCAACGAGCGCAACCCCCGUCCUAUGUUGCCAGCAUUCAGUUGGGGACUCAUAGGAGACUGCCGGUGACAAACCGGAGGAAGGUGGGGACGACGUCAAGUCAUCAUGCCCCUUAUGUCCAGGGCUACACACGUGCUACAUUGGCGCAUACAUAGGGUUGCAAUACCGUGAGGUGGAGCGAAUCCCAAAAAGUGCGUCUCGGUUCGGAUUGAAGGCUGAAACUCGCCUUCAUGAAGAUGGAGUUGCUAGUAAUCGCAGAUCAGCAAUGCUGCGGUGAAUACGUUCCCGGGCCUUGUACACACCGCCCGUCACACCACGAAAGCGAGCAACACCCGAAGCCAGUGGCCUAACCGCAAGGAGGGAGCUGUCGAAGGUGGGGUCCGUGAUUGGGGUGAAGUCGUAACAAGGUAACCGUAA